rnacentral:rRNA from 1 species
GAACCUGCGGAAGGAUCAUUAUUGAAUGAACUUGGCGUGGUUGUCGCUGGCCCUCUCGAGGGUAUGUGCACGCCCGUCAUCUUUAUCUUUCCACCUGUGCACACUUUGUAGACUUGAAUAGUAUUUUCUGAGGCAACUCAGUCGGGAGGAUUGCUGGUAUUAUCAGCUCUCCUUGCAUUAUUCAAGCCUAUGUUUUCAUAUACCCCAAAAAUGUAACAGAAUGUAUCAUUGGGCCUUGUGCCUAUAAACUAUAUACAACUUUCAGCAACGGAUCUCUUGGCUCUCGCAUCGAUGAAGAACGCAGCGAAAUGCGAUAAGUAAUGUGAAUUGCAGAAUUCAGUGAAUCAUCGAAUCUUUGAACGCACCUUGCGCUCCUUGGUAUUCCGAGGAGCAUGCCUGUUUGAGUGUCAUUAAAUUCUCAACCUUACCAGUUUUCACAAGUUGGUAAUGGCUUGGACUUGGGGGUUUUUUGGCUGGCUUCGUCAAGAGGUCUGCUCCCUUAAAUGUAUUAGCCCGUACCCGUGUGGAGUCGUCUAUUGGUGUGAUAAUUAUCUACGCCGUGGGCCUUCACUUUAAAUGGAUUGUACUGCUUCUAACCGUCCGUUAAGUCGGACAAAUAAUGACAA